rnacentral:rRNA from 1 species
UGGGGAAUAUUGGACAAUGGGGGCAACCCUGAUCCAGCCAUGCCGCGUGAGUGAAGAAGGCCUUCGGGUUGUAAAGCUCUUUCGGCGGGGACGAUGAUGACGGUACCCGCAUAAGAAGCCCCGGCUAACUUCGUGCCAGCAGCCGCGGUAAUACGAAGGGGGCUAGCGUUGUUCGGAAUUACUGGGCGUAAAGCGCGCGUAGGCGGCGACCUUUGUCAGAGGUGAAAUCCCGAGGCUCAACUUCGGAAUUGCCUUUGAAACGGGGUUGCUUGAGUCCGAGAGAGGAUGGCGGAAUUCCUAGUGUAGAGGUGAAAUUCGUAGAUAUUAGGAAGAACACCGGUGGCGAAGGCGGCCAUCUGGCUCGGUACUGACGCUCAGGCGCGAAAGCGUGGGGAUCAAA